UUAACAAAAAUUUUCUGUUAAUAUUAAGCGGCAUCAAAAUAUAUAAUGCACAAGUCAAAAGGCAAGGCAGAAAAGCAACUACCUGGAAAAACUGUGCGGGUAUUCCGGAGCAAAAGACCGACAAGGAUUGUGGAUAUUUUAUAAUGAGAUACAUGAAGGAAAUAGUGGAGGAUAAAAACUUGGACUUUUUCAGCAAGUGGGAGAGAAGAAGUAAAGCAGCAUAUUUCUAGGAGGAUAUCGAUGUGGUCAGAACUGAGUGGGCAAAGUUUGUGAUUAAAACAUAUAUGUAAGAUUUGUGUUGGUACUUCUUGGAGACCUAGUUCAAAGUUUGUGGUUAUGUUUUGGUUGGA